rnacentral:rRNA from 1 species
UGGGGAAUAUUGCACAAUGGGCGAAAGCCUGAUGCAGCAACGCCGCGUGAGCGAUGAAGGUCUUCGGAUCGUAAAGCUCUGUCCUCAAGGAAGAAUUUUGACGGUACUUGAGGAGGAAGCCCCGGCUAACUACGUGCCAGCAGCCGCGGUAAUACGUAGGGGGCUAGCGUUAUCCGGAAUUAUUGGGCGUAAAGGGUGCGUAGGCGGUCCUACAAGUCAGAGGUGAAAGGCUACGGCUCAACCGUAGUAAGCCUUUGAAACUGUAGGACUUGAGUGCAGGAGAGGAGAGUGGAAUUCCCGAGUGUAGCGGUGAAAUGCGUAGAUAUUGGGAGGAACACCAGUUGCGAAGGCGGCUCUCUGGACUGUAACUGACGCUGAGGCACGAAAGCGUGGGAGCGACAGGAUUAGAUACCCGUGUAG